UACGUAGGUGGCGAGCGUUGUCCGGAUUUACUGGGCGUAAAGAGCGCGCAGGCGGCUGGUCAAGUCCGAUGUGAAAGCUCCCGGCUUAACUGGGAAAUUGCAUCGGAAACUGAUCGGCUGGAAGGUGGGAGAGGGUAGCGGAAUUCCCGGUGUAGUGGUGAAAUGCGUAGAUAUCGGGAGGAACACCAGUGGCGAAAGCGGCUACCUGGCCCAUUCUUGACGCUGAGGCGCGAAAGCUAGGGGAGCCAAACGGG
rnacentral:rRNA from 1 species